AAAAAGUCCCCCUGUUUGGUUUGCUAGGGACUUUUAGAGACUUUUUUUAGUCCCAACAUAAAAAAGUCCCUGAAACCAAACACCCCCUUAGUCAUCUAACCGUUUACACAUUAGUCUAGAUAGUGCGAGUCAAUCCACAAUCAUUUUCGACUAAGGACAAUCAUGCAUGAACUUAACUUAGUACAAGGUUCCACCAUCAAGUCACACACACCCCAGCAAAAAAAAAGUCACACACACCCCAGCAAAAAAAAAGUCACACACUUGAUGACAGGUACUUAAGUUGAUUACAUUGGACUAACGUAUGAAUAUAUAAGCCAGAUAUAGUGUUGCCUCUAGGGUACUACUCCUACAGCCCCCCACUUGCAUUAGAGUCAAUGACUCUGAGAUAUCUCCAUAUAUCUAAGCAUCGUCUGCCCAUCGCUCUUGUGUGCACCUCUAUCUUAGGCUUUGGAAGUGGCCGGACCUCCUCGCCACUGUCGUCCAUAGGUGAUAGGACACUUCUUGGCGAUUGGCGUCAGGUUCAGCGUGGGAUAAUGGGCUUGCACGGCAGCCUAGGCCUGCCGAGCUCCCUCGCGGAAUGCCGAUUGCUGCCACCUCCUGAUUUGGGCGCUUCCCUCUUGAAGGCGGCGCACCAGCUCAAAAUAGCUAGUUGGCACGGGCUCCUUGCGCCACAAGACUUGGCAUAUCCUCUAUCGCCGAACGCGCCAUCUUAUGCAGCUCUUUGAGCUGCCUUGGCUUGUCUCUAAGGACGACGCCAUGCGGCGGAUCCUGGAAUUGAAGCCAAAACAACCAAUGUUGGUCGUCGGUUCCUUCAGGGCUCGCGUUGAAGAAGUGGCACGUGUCCUUGACACUACGGAGAAGAUCAGCAGUUGGCGAGCACCAUACUUGCAUAAGCUCAGGGUACGCUCGAUGGCUGAAGACACAGUGCAGAAGAUAUGGCUUACCGGAUCAAUAUGGGGCGUAUUUGGUUGCUUUCGCUGCCGGGCCUGACUCAGAGGGGAAAAACGAACCAGGCUGAGCUGGGCCUGCAUAAGCAAAAACAGGGUCAAAAACAUAGAUUACAAGUUGAUUGGUUGCCUGCAUUGGGGUCUUGUCAUCAAGAUGCAAUUUUCACUCGGUGUUUGGUUGCAUACAGCAUAUGAUUACCAACAUUAACAACAAAACUUAACAGCCAUCAGGUUGGGCUUGACAUUUCGUUAAACACUUUGAGCGCGCCGGAGCUUCCACUGCCCAUCAUGCCCACCACCAGCUCCCGGCGACCGUGGCCGUGCCCGGCUCGCCGCGGUCGUGGCCGUGCCCGGCUCGCCGCGGUCGUGGACGAGCUUGAGUUGACUCAGGCGAAAUCAAACACGCAUCCGCUUGUAUGCGGGCAACCAUACAAAGUCAGCUCAGAAUCAAUCCAACCGGAACACCGAAGACCAACGAUGGAUGUCACCGUGGUGAAGCAACUCAGGCGGAUCCGCACGCUGGGCCGCAACUCGCUGCCAUGGCCGUGGUUGCAGCGCCAUUCCCGUCACGGGAUGCGGUCGCCGCCGAGCUGGCCAUGCGGCGCACCUGGC
rnacentral:lncRNA from 1 species